UGGACGCAAACACAUCUCCUUCUUCUUCCCACUCGGCUGUUCCGCCGUCCGCAUUCGUCUUUCCCCAAAUCAAAAGCAAACCCUUGCCGCCGCUACCACUGUCUUCACCAGUCAGCCACUUCUGCCACCACGACUGCCGCCCUUCAAUUGAAGAGCCCUUUCUCUCCGAGUCCCAGUUUGUUGGCCAACUUUAGAAGCAGCUACGGUAGACAUUUCAUCAGCUCCAUUGGUGGAGGGCCUCGCGAACAGGCAAAGCGAACAGGCACCAUAGCAGCGGCAGCAGCAAGAAAAUUAGAGUGAAUUGAAAGAAGAAAAACCCAUAAAGAAUCCUUGGGAUAUUUCACGUUUGCAAUUACAAUGUCUGAAGAAGAACGAGAGAUGGAUAAAACCAACUUCUUGAAUGAAGAGGAUCCGAAGUCAAAUGGGGUGAAGGGAGCUAAAUGGAAAAACAAACAGAUGAAGCGAUUACAAUAUGAGGCUAAGAAGGCUGAAAAGCGUGGGAUUUGCUAUUUGAGCAGGAUACCUCCACAUAUGGAUCCUCUAAAACUUAGACAGAUCCUCUCUCAGCAUGGAGAAAUUCAGAGAGUUUAUCUCACACCUGAAAAUCCUGCUGCUCGAGUCCAGCGCAAGCAGGCUGGUGGAUUUCGAGGACAAGAAUUUUCAGAAGGGUGGGUUGAGUUCACUAAAAAGAGUGUUGCAAAGAGGGUGGCAAAGAUGUUAAAUGGAGAACAAAUAGGUGGGAGGAAAAGGUCAGCAUUCUAUUAUGAUCUCUGGAAUAUCAAAUACUUGAGUAAAUUCAAAUGGGACGAUCUUACUGAAGAAAUUGCAUACAAGAAUGCAAUCCGAGAGCAAAAACUGGCACUGGAAAUAUCUGCUGCUAAAAGAGAGCGAGAUUUCUAUCUGUCGAAAGUUGAUCAAUCCAUUGCUCUGAGUUCUAUAGAAGAGCGCAUGAAGAAGAAGCAAAAGGUUCAGCAAGAAUCAGGAGCAAAUUCUGAGAUCUCUGAUACCCAUUUUGGGCCAAAAUUAAUUCGGCAAUUUCCCCAGAAAAAACCAGUUGCAACCAACACUGAAGAAAGCAAGCCUCGAUUGUCUAAGGAUAUCUUGGCUGGAAUAUUUGGUGGUACUUCAUAAUCCAAGCCAGAUGCACGUAGCGAGGGGAAGAGAUUUAAAAUUUUUGCACGAACUGUAGUUGUUGAUUUGCCAUUCUUUUAGUUAUUGAUCAAGUUCUUGUCAAUAGUUAGCAAAACCUUGAUAUUGUAUCGUAUUUUACUGCUUUAGUUAACCUAUGUUUGCGAGGGUGAGUACAAGAAUUCCAAUUUUGCCUUUCUUUUGGGUCUGGAAAGUGCGUCAUAUCUCUAAGCAAUUUCAUUUUUGGGCUACAACUGGACAAAGUUUUAAGGUGUUCGAUUGCUUUGGAUUACAUGUAUCUUCAACGCUUUUACUCUCCCACCAGAGCUAGAGCCCAACUUAAUUCAGAGCAAGCGUGCUCCUGUUACCCUUCGACGCAUGGCAAGGGCUUCAUCACUGAUAGGUGAUUGUUAGAUUGCUACGGUCAAUCCAUUGUAUAGACUAAAAGAAUUCUCAAAAUUAAUGGUGCAUACUGCAUAGUGAUUGAUAUGAAUUCCUGCCACAAUGUACGUAUAAAGUUGUUAAUUCUUUAGGCAAAUUAUACAGUUGAGUAUAUGACUCUAUGCUAAGGUCGUUUGACUCCCAAAGAGAUAAAUGUUACAAUUUGUCAAGACGCCGACAAUUAUAGGCUCUCCCACCAAUUAAAGCUACGAAUGGAAAAUACUCUCCAUUU